UGAUGAAUCACAGGCAAACAAAACAAUGCUCUACGCAGAUCUGUUUGUGCUCAUUCAGGCCAGUUGCCCAGUCACUGCCUAAAUGCUUUCAUGUGAACUGCUGUUUCUUCAGAAAAUUCAGGCAUUACUAGGAAUUCAUUCUUCUGUAAAGGAUAACAGGGAUCACGUUGGAAAGUCUUCUGGAUCUUCUGUGUUUGGAUGCUUCGGUUUUCCCAGGUUUUAUACUUCCUACUUUUUAAUCCAUGACUUCAAGAAAAUAUAUUUUCAGCAUGCUGUUUCCAAAACAUCUCAGGAGCUGUUGUUGUUUUCCCAUUCACAUAUCAAGUUCUUCUACUUAGGGUUACUCCUUUCAUACAACAACUGGUAUCAAUUAACAUAAAGUUUUUUUUUUUUUUUUGACUGCAAACUGUGCUUGCUUGUAUUUGAAUUGUUUGAUAAAUUGAAUAAUGGUAAAUUUUCUGAAAAUAGAAAUCUAACCUGGGUAGGCAUAUCUCCCCUCCUCCUUUGUUCUACUUGCUUUCUUGAGAGAUGAUACCGCCCCAUUAUCUUGUUAUGUAACACCUAUCUUCUAGGAAAUUUGUAUUUCUGCUUUUCCCAUAACCUCAGUCAAACAACAACAAACCCUCUCACACGUUGAAUGGAGAGGGCUACUCUGAAUGGCUAAUGUUGGCCAGUCUUUCCGGGUCCUUCCCAGAGACCACAGAGACAGGCUCUUUGGGAGCAGGUACACUGUGGAGCUGAUGAAUUAACGCCUAUUUUUUUGUUCCUGAGCACUGUUGCCUUUCUGAUCUUGGUGGCUGCUCACCCAAAGUGUGGACACAAGAGGGAGGCUGCUAUUUGACAUGCUUCCCUGGGAACUCAACACAUUGCCUCCAUGACAUUUGUAUCCUAUGCUAGUCUGGGAAGUGAGACUCCAGAUUGAGACCACCCCCAUGUCAGGUGCCCAGCUAAUGCUUUGCAUAAUGCAAACAGCGUUCACUCAUGGGAUUCUGACGGAGAGAUAAGUAGCCUUCAAAAACGCUUAGAAGAUGUUACAUUUCAGAGAGGCAUUGCUUAAAACAUAUGGACCUUACUUUAGGGCCAAGCAAGAAAGACAUUUGAUUACUGAUUUGUUUACGUGUGUUUAUUCACUUCUUUUCUUCAUUAAACAAAUGAAUAUCCUCGUGAAGAGGAAAAAAAUGAUGAGGAGGACUGAAUUCUCCCUGUGUAAGUAUAUAGAACAUUCUUGGAUGUUAAUGAGAAUUGUACAUCUACAUUAUAAAAUGGAGUUUACCCACCCAAUAUUGGUGUGAUGAUUUGCAACUUCAACCAGUUUGGAGAACAAUAAUAUUUGAAAACUAUGCUGAGGGCCAGAUAAACUUCUCCAUUUUCAGAAAGGGACAAAUAAGAAGGAAUGGUCCUUCCCUAAUGCAUAAUUUCUCCUUUUCUAGUGUAAAAUAUAGUAAAUUACUCCAAACACAAACUAAUCAUCAAGAAGGCAACAAUACUGUUAAUGGUUUAAGCAUAGUACUCAGUCUGAGUUUACUCUGCCUUAUGGAAAUAUCAAAGUCAUUUUGAUUAUGCUCAGAGGUUUAAUAUAGCUAUUAGAACAACAACUACUCUAUCGGUGUUACACCAUUACGUUUGUUAAGUUGAUUCAGCAGUAGAACUAUGACUCUUAUUUUUCCAGCUGCAUUUGUGAAUUUGUUUUUGCUUAAGUUUGAGUAAUUGAAGUCUUGUGGGAAGUAAAGUCAUUGUUCAUCUGCUUAUUUCAAUCUGUGCUGGGAAAACCAAUUUUCUCUUGUUAAAUUAUAUUUCUAAUGUUCAACAGGGAUAGCUGCAGAUACUUGUUGUCAUGCCUUGCUUUCUUUGAAAUAUUUCUUAACUGGCUCUCCAAGCUAUUUUUCCACCCCCUGAUAUUUCAGCAGCAAGGUGAUUCAUUCAGAAUAGUUUUACCCUAUUUCUGACAUCACAGAUCUAUCAGCAGAGAUGGUCUGACAGGAGUCUGAAACCGGUACUCUGUAAUGUGGCCAAUACGUAAUUUUUAUCUAAACAUAAGAGUGAGAAUGGGGCAAAUUUUUUGUUUAUCUUUUUAUUUUUAUUUUUAUUUUUUGAAGUGAGCUUUCUACUUAAAGGCUGCAUUCCCCCAUCAGUUUCUCUUACUUUCUUUGAUAGCAUGUUUUCCACACUUGUGUUGUGCAUGGCUCCUCAAAUGCCAUUACAGGCUGAGCAAACACCUUUGCUGUUAUGGUAAGAAGGACCAAUUUUGGCCUGAAUAUUUGAUAAGAAUAAAUUACAUUUUUCUUGCUUACCAUGUCAAAAAUAAGUAUAUAAAUAAAUAAAAUUGCCACUCUGCCAACCAGAACAAACUUUCUUUGCAGAACUUUACAGCUUACAGUUACUUGGGGACCCCUGUUGAAAAACAACUUCUGAAAGUCUGGUAACUUUUCUUCAGUGCUUAAUUGAGAACAGACUAUUUUGGAAACAUCAACCAUCAGAGAUAUGUAAUCACCUAAAUAGGUGGAGGCAAUGUAAUUAUACAGAAUCAUCUUUGUUCCAGGGUUAAUGCAAGAAAAGAGCAGCCUUAGUGAAUGAAAGGAGGUGAUUCAAGUCCUCCUGAAGUUAAUGAACAGCUUUGUGUCAGGCUCCUAAUACAUAGAAUAAAACAACAGCAUUUGUUACUUUUUGACUGCUGAAAAAUAUUUUGGAGUGGUGGAUUGUUGAAUUUUAUGGCAGUUUUCAAUUUGACCUGAAGUGUUGAUAAGGUUUAUUUCUGAACUUCUUUAAAUGGAAAGUGGCUGACAGUGCAAUUAAACCAUGUGAAUAUUUGGGAACUGAAUAAGAGGAAAUGC